rnacentral:rRNA from 1 species
UACGUAGGGACCAAGCGUUGUUCGGAUUUACUGGGCGUAAAGGGCGCGUAGGCGGCGUGGUAAGUCACUUGUGAAAUCUCUGAGCUUAACUCGGAACGGCCAAGUGAUACUGCUGUGCUAGAGUGCAGAAGGGGCAAUCGGAAUUCUUGGUGUAGCGGUGAAAUGCGUAGAUAUCAAGAGGAACACCUGAGGUGAAGACGGGUUGCUGGGCUGACACUGACGCUGAGGCGCGAAAGCCAGGGGAGCAAACGGG